UACGAAGGGGGCUAGCGUUGUUCGGAAUCACUGGGCGUAAAGCGCACGUAGGCGGAUGUGUCAGUCAGGGGUGAAAUCCCGGGGCUCAACCUCGGAACUGCCUCUGAUACAGCACAUCUUGAGUCCGGAAGAGGUGGGUGGAAUUCCCAGUGUAGCGGUGAAAUGCGUAGAUAUUGGGAGGAACACCAGUGGCGAAGGCGGCUCACUGGACCGGUACUGACGCUCAUGCACGAAAGCGUGGGGAGCAAACAGG
rnacentral:rRNA from 1 species